rnacentral:Y_RNA from 1 species
GGUUGGUCUGAAGGUAGAGGGUUAUCAGAAUUUACUAACAGUAGUGUCACUUAAGUUGGCAUACAACCUCCACUGCUAAAUUUGACUGGCUUAAA